CACAGACUCACCCAAACUGGACAGCUGAAGACUGGAAAAAGACCAGAAAACAUGAGGGAACGCCUGCUUAUAGCUGCUAUAAUAAUACUGUUUCCAUUUCAAUGGCAUAAAACCCACCUACAAAGCUGUACAAGUGAAAUUCAGAGAUGAAGGAGGUAGUGUUAUGUGUAACGGAACAACUUUCUCAGUCAUCUGAUCCAUACCGAAUAGAGUUGCUGUUGAAGGAGUCAAUCUGAAAGGUUGCAUCUCAAGAAAAGUAUCUUGCCAGCUCCACAAAUCUCUGAAACAGCCUGCAAGAAGCAUCUCUGAUGAUCUCUGAGGAAAACCUCAGAAAAGGAACUGUUUACAACAAUAAUGUGUGCAGCAGUUAUAUCUCCAUCCAAGCCCACCAAGACAAAAAUCCAAUAACAUUAAUGUAUUUCCAAGUCCUUAUAUGCUCUAAUGAUGAACAGAGUAUUGCUAUGUUGCCAGAGAAAUGCAUUAACAUGCAAGCAGCUUAGGUUACAAAUACAGAUGUAUGUCAAAGUUUGGGCCCCACUGCACAAAUGACAUAUCUUGUUGAUUUUUGAAGUGA
ensembl:lncRNA